CCUACGGGUGGCAGCAGUGGGGGAUAUUGCACAAUGGGGGAAACCCUGAUGCAGCGACGCCGCGUGGGUGAAGAAGUAUUUCGGUAUGUAAAGCCCUAUCAGCAGGGAAGAAAGAAGACGGUACCUGACUAAGAAGCCCCGGCUAACUACGUGCCAGCAGCCGCGGUAAUACGUAGGGGGCGAGCGUUAUCCGGAUUCACUGGGUGUAAAGGGAGCGUAGACGGCCGUGCAAGCCAGGAGUGAAAGCCCGGGGCUCAACUCCGGGACUGCUUUUGAAACUGUAUGGCUAGAUUGCAGGAGAGGCAAGUGGAAUUCCUAGUGUAGCGGUGAAAUGCGUAGAUAUUAGGAGGAACACCAGUGGCGAAGGCGGCUUGCUGGACUGUAAAUGACGCUGAGGCUCGAAAGCGUGGGGAGCAAACAGGAUUAGAUACCCGAGUAGUC
rnacentral:rRNA from 1 species